AGCUCUGUUAGUUUAUAUGAAUGUGCUGUAAGGUGUGUGACACACACAGCUCUGUUAGUUUAUGUGAAUGUGCUGUAAGGUGUGUGACACACACAGCUCUGUUAGUUUAUGUGAAUGUGCUGUAAGGUGUGUGACACACACAGCUCUGUUAGUUUAUGUGAAUGUGCUGUAAGGUGUGUGACACACACAGCUCUGUUAGUUUAUGUGAAUGUGCUGUAAGGUGUGUGACACACACAGCUCUGUUAGUUUAUGUGAAUGUGCUGUAAGGUGUGUGUGUUCUUCUCUCUGCAGGCUGUCAGGCUGUGGAGUCAGACAGAGAGGCUGUGAUUCUCUGGCUUCAGCUCUGUGUUCAAACCCCUCACACCUGAGAGAGCUGGACCUGAGAUACAAUCACCCAGGAGACUCAGGAGUGAGAGCGCUGUCUGCUGCUAAACUGGACACACUCACACUGCUUGUGGAACAUGAAGGAGAAAACAGGAUCAAACCAGGACCCACAAAAU